rnacentral:lncRNA from 1 species
AAUCAAGGGGUAAAGCUAUAAUUGAAUCGUGAAUUGUGUUCGUGGCAUCGAGGUAAGUGUUUGGUCUAACCUUAGCUUGAGGAAUUAGGAAUUGAGUCCUAUUUGCUAUGUGAUAAAUGUUAAGUACGACGUAUAGGCAUAGUGACGAGUAUCUAUACGUUGGUGUCAAGCAUGCCCGUGAGUCUUAUUUAUGAUUUUCAUGACUUCGUUGUAUUAUCCAUGCUUUAGAGUUGAUUUCUAAUUGUUGUGAAAAGUUUGUGGAAGGAAUUGUGACUUUUGAACAUCGAGGAGCAUUGGCUCAAGUUAUAUUACGAAUUGUGAAAGUAUAUGAGUUGAUUGAACCCUUUGGAGCAUUGGCUCAAAUGGUAAAGUGAGUUGUGAAGUAAAAGUGAAUAAGAGAAAGAAGUUAUUAAAUUGUUCCCUUGCCUAAAUUGUUCCCUUGCCGAGAUAUUGUUGCUUUAUUGGUUAUAUCCCUUGCCGGGAUGUUGAUAUUAUUGAUGUUGCUCCCUUGCCGGGACUUAAUUGUUGAAUUGUUGUUCCCUUGUCGGGAUUUCUAUUAUAAUCUUAUUUAUUUCCUUGCCCUAUUGUUUGUGAUUGUUGUUUGGGUAAGGAAGAGUGUUAAAGCACGAAAGGUGAUGCCGUGUAUUGUUUGUUUUGUGAGGAAAGAGUAUAAAGCACCAAGGGUGAUGCCGUGUAUUAUUGUGAGGAAAGAGUGUAAAGCACGAAGGGUGAUGCCAUGCCGCACGAUGUACCAUUCCGUGCCGAUUUUAUUGAUUAUAUAGUGAGGAAAGACAGUAAAAGCACGAAGGGUGAUGCCGUGCACACUUUUAUUAUAUAAUUGCUUGGGUGAGGACGAGAGUAAAAGCACGAAGGGUGAUGCCGUGCAAUUGUUGAUUUCUGAUUCUUUGUUGAUAUCCGAGUUAUGUUGUUCUUUAAUUACUUGAUGUCUUUCUAUUCGGAAUUGUUAUCUCCCCCACAACAUGUUUCCCCUCCCAUAUUGACUGGUUAUUUUUGUAUUUCUUUCCGCUGUAUAUGUAUUUGAAUUGCACAAGUUAUUUGGUAGUCUGGUCCUAGCUUCGUCACUACUUCGCUGAGAUUAGGUUAGACACUUACCAGCACAUGGGGUCGGUUGUGCUGAUACUACACUCUGCACUAUGUGCAGAUCCCGGAGCAUCUUUUGGACCAUAGUGUGGAGGCUACCUUCAGUCCACGCGGAGAUCUAAGGUAGACCUGCAGGCGUCCGCAGGCCCUGGCGUCUCCCUCUAUCCCUAUUUUUCCUAUUUCAUUUUCCUUAUAUUCCGGAACAGUGUAUUAUUAUUUCUUCAGACUUUGUAUGUAGUAAAUCUUAGAUCGUCUGGGACACUGUGACACCAGAUUUUGGGUGGUUGAGACUUAAUUAAUUGUAAUAGACGCAGAUUUCAGAUAUUUAAUUGUUAUCUUCCGCUUAAUUAUUUAAAGUUUCGUUGUUUUCAUGUUA